AUUGAACGCUGGCGGCAUGCCUUACACAUGCAAGUCGAACGGUAACAGGUCUUCGGAUGCUGACGAGUGGCGAACGGGUGAGUAAUGCAUCGGAACGUGCCCAGUUGUGGGGGAUAACUGCUCGAAAGAGCAGCUAAUACCGCAUACGACCUGAGGGUGAAAGCGGGGGAUCGCAAGACCUCGCGCAAUUGGAGCGGCCGAUGUCAGAUUAGGUAGUUGGUGGGGUAAAGGCCUACCAAGCCGACGAUCUGUAGUUGGUCUGAGAGGACGACCAGCCACACUGGGACUGAGACACGGCCCAGACUCCUAAAGGAGGCAGCAGUGGGGAAUUUUGGACAAGGGGCGCAAGCCUGAUCCAGCAAUGCCGCGUGCAGGAAGAAGGCCUUCGGGUUGUAAACUGCUUUUGUCAGGGAAGAAAUCCUCUGGGUUAAUACCCCGGGGGGAUGACGGUACCUGAAGAAUAAGCACCGGCUAACUACGUGCCAGCAGCCGCCGUAAAAC
rnacentral:rRNA from 1 species